UGUCUACUUCCCUGAUCCAUUUCCCUCUCUUCUCGCCCUGUUCUUUCCCCAAAUCCGACGACGAGAGACAACCGUUGCCGCGACGCAGCCGAAGACGGGGGGCAGGGAAGGGGAAGGGCUGGAGCGCGGUGGGGACCCGCUUCUCGUCGCCGGCGUAGGUACGGUCGCCCGUUCGGCUGCUCCCUGCCCAACCAGAUCCAGCCCCAUCGUCGUUGUUCCCCGCCGUCGUCGACGGGAUGCGGCCGUCGUCUACUUCCUCUGCCCGAGGGAUGGAAACGUCGGCACUGGAGUCGUGGCCGUGGCGGGGAAGGCGAACCCAGCGCAGCUCUGCCAGUGGCUCAAGAGGAAGAUAAGCAAGGAUGUCAAGAUUUUCCGCCGUUGUCCAAACGGGCUGAGAAUUGUAAUAAGCAGGUAUGCAUCCCUCUUGUCUACUUGUACUGCAGAAUGAAGGACGAUGUGUGUAAUAUCCAAAUGAAUGCACGCUAUUACGAAGGGCUAGCCGUGUGGGGUUAAGGUGCUCGCCAGAGGCGACCUGCGUGGCUCUCGGCCUGCAUCCUCGCUGAACUCAACACCAACUAUCGCGCGCCCGCGAUGUAACUGCUGUUGCAACAACGACGGCCAACGGCUAUUGAACGACGAGGAUGCCCUUCGGGGGUUAUUGCAUGCAAAGCAAAGCAGUUGCUCGAUACUCACAGCCAAUAUAUCUCCGUGUAGAAGCAGAAGAAGCAGCACUUGAUUCAGGGAAAGGGCAAGGGAGAUAGUCAACAAGGUUUGCACAUGGGAGAGGAGAAGGAUUUCUUACCUUGGCGUUGCUUGGUAAGCUUCUCUUCUCUUCUUCCUGUUUUUCUGACCAAGAUCUCCUCACCUUGGCUGCUUUGCCAUGGCAGCUCUACAGGAUCUGGUUCAUGGCAUUGGAUCUGGUUUCUUUCAUGAGGAAGAAGCUGACGACCAGCAAGGGAGAGAGGGUGGGUGAGAGGGGCGUGGGGUGCGCUAGUAGUUUGAUGGGUAUCACGUGACAACGACGGGUGGUGAGAGGACUCUGUUAAUCUGCUUUUUUCUUUGUUUGCGCGUGGGAACAGGUGAGAACAGCUGGCGCGAAGGAUCUUUCCUUCCUGGGACCAGCGGACAAACGCUUAUUUUUUCUGGCCUGCCGCUCGCGAGCGCUAGCGAGCACCCUGCCGCUCGCUAGACGCGUCCAUAAUUUAAAUGCAGAUCUGGCCUAAACAUGAUAAAUGCUAAUGAAUAGCAAUAGUAGUCAGAGCAAGCUUCAGUUUACGCUAAAGCUUUCGAGUAGUCGGCAAGCUACGAGACAAGUGACUGUGCAGCGCUGGGAGAAAAAGAAAAGGAAACCUAGCCCCGCACGCUUCUUCGCCACUCUGUCAAUCCCCUCUUCGCUCGCCUCCUUCUCUCCCUGGUCCCUGCGCCGCCGGCUCAGCCGCCUCCUCUCCCGCUUUCCUCCUCCUAGCUCAGUCCUCGUCCAGAUCGGUGUCCAGCGCAGGAAGAUCGGGGUGGUGGCGGCGGCAUCUUCAGCGGCGUCGCCGGACGAGGUCCACGCGCCGGGGAGAUAUCUCCAAGGUCCCGCGCCACCACGUCCCCUCGCCGACGUUGGCCUCACCACAGAAGAGGUCUAGCCCGCCCGUGCCGCCGGUCAAGUUGUCUUUGGAGGUGAGGAUUGCCUGGAGCCCCACCCCUUCGUUCCCCUCCCCCUCCCCAAGCUCGAGCCUCCGCCGUCCCUCCCUCCCGUCGCCUUCCCCCUCUGAAUAAGGAGCAUGGGGCCCGCUGCUACGCCUGAGCCGCCACAAGGCCGUCGGUUGGUGGAGAUCCAGUGCCAACGAGCCACUCAUGUUGGUGUCCCAGGUCUCGGAGCCUCCGGAGUCGCCGUCGCUGUCAGGAGGGAAAAGGCGUCGCCGAUGAUGAUGUGGAGGAGGACAAGGUCGACGCCCCUCUGCCCUGCUGUGAAUCGGUGGCGACUACAGCGUGGGUGUGGUGAAGCGGCGGGCGGCGCGCGCGUCAGUGCCCCCACGCCCCGGACGGUGCGGACUGCGACUGCGCGUAGGGUACUCAAGCCGCUGGGCGGACUGCCUGCCUGAUUGUGUCAAGUGCUAUAAUUGACACAUAUAUCGGAGAAAGUGCGCUUUUAAUCAGAGAAAUGUUCGGCUAUGCACACGAUCACCAAGUAAGUUUUGCUCCGCCUUUCUUUUUUGCAAAGCUAAUUUGUAUUGAACCUAAUUCCCUUAUUAUAUGUUAGAAAUGUAUGUUAGCAAUGAUUAUGCAUCUACUGGUGUUGAGAUUCAAGCUGUGACUUUGAUAGUUCCCUUGACUCAGAUGUCAUGUCAUCUAAUUGUAUUCUGGUUCAACACUAGAAAAAAUUUAAGCUUUAGAUUUCAGUAUCAGUUUUUCCCGAGAAGAAGAAAUCAAACUGAUCUCCAUAUAUGUAAAAGUGCACUUCUGAGAUCUUUUAGCUUAUAUCACCAUUUAGUUUAUCUUUUAGCUUAUUAUUAAGUUGUCUUUGAUGGGUGAAUUUCAGCUACAUACACAACAUUGCAGUCAGAAUUUGAGUGGCGCUAAUAGAACUGUUGAGUGAUCGAUUUGAUUCUUUACAGAAUCAAAGCAUUGAGAUUCUUCUUUUAAUGCUUUAGAAUAUGAGUGCCUUCAAAAAAAUUAUCAUGCCAUUGUUACUUUGCAUCUCAUGUUGGUCAGUAAUUCAUGUAGUAGUGUAAGUUUUGCACAAUCAAAAUGCCUUUAAUUAGAAUGAUAAAAGCUUCACACCUUUGCUUCCGAAGUUUCGCUGAACUGAACUUCUGUAAAAUACAUAAACCAGAGCUUACUCUUAGAUAUUUAGUUUAGGUUAAAUUUGCUCGGAGUGAUUAAGAAUAUUGGCAUGCAAUAGUAAUCAAAGCGUACCAUUUUGGCAUGCAAUAAUAAUCAUAUUGGUAAAUGGUAUGUUUUUUUAUUGUUACUCUCACAUUUCAUGCGCAUGCUAGGUAUGUUGCCUUUCAAGUCCAGUGCAUCUCUCUAGGCAAUUAUAUGUUGUUCUGUGUUCGAUCAACUUGCAUCAGUCUCAGCUCCUCGGUGUGUGAAAGGGGAAGUGUAGAAGUAGUGGGGAGUGCAGCUGACUAAAAUCCAUGUAGCAUUUGUGUUGGGUACAUCAAAAUGAAGAUCAGGAGAAUUCCGAUGAUUCUGAUGUGGAAAUGGAUGAUGCCAUGCCUCUGGAGUACUCUGAAAGGUGCUCUUUUAUAUUUGGUUCCUUAGUCGUGGUGGCAUCAUGAGGUUCCUUUCUUGGGCCAAACUGAAGCACUUAAUUCUACUUUGUAUUUCCUUUUGAAUUAAUUGUUAUAUAUCCUUGUUAGACGUAUAAUUGACUAUGAUGGUUCUGAACUCAAAUACCAUAGUAUAUGUACUUUGAUUGAUGUGCUACUAAUAGAUCCUAAUGAUUUCAAAUAAUACAACAUACGCCCAUAUUGAUGUGUACAUAAGUGAUACUGAUGACCAAACAUGACAGCCGAAAGUGCCCAGACAAGAUAAGUGCGCAUAGGCCCGCCUCAGGUGGCGCCCCAGCCUCUAGUAUCACUAGGAAGACGAAGCAGAAGGAAAUCCAUGCAGGCGACAACCCAAUGCGGCGGGCAGCGGCUCGUCGCUCCCCCAGUCUGUUGUCCGGUGACCAAGGUGGACCGAUGUAGGUCCAACCGCCACAUCACACGAAGA